CUUCACAGGAAAAUAACUUAUUUCUGUCUCUCAGAAAACUUGUGUUUGGCAAUAGCUUACCAGCUGCAGGGUAGAAAGGCAGCACUGUGGGUGUGUUGUCAGCAAGCUGAAGACUUUGAGAAAGAAACAGAUUAUCUGAUUGCUCUGUAAUCUCCUUUCAGAACUGGCUGACAGAGCUGGAGAUCUUUGCUAUAAUCUUCUCAGCUGCCAUCCACGACUACGAGCAUACCGGAACCACCAACAAUUUCCACAUUCAGACUCGGUCUGAUCCAGCUAUUCUGUAUAAUGACAGAUCUGUACUGGAGAAUCACCAUUUAAGUGCAGCUUAUCGCCUUCUGCAAGAUGACGAGGAAAUGAAUAUUUUGAUUAACCUCUCAAAGGAUGACUGGAGGUAAGGAUGAGAAAAGAGAGAGAUUUGUAGGCCAGGGAAGGAACUUUGAAGUUGGAUGAAGUAUGCUGUUUUUGAGAAAAGAACACCUUGCUUAAAAUGUUGAU
rnacentral:sRNA from 1 species